AGAGUUUGAUCAUGGCUCAGGAUGAACGCUAGCGACAGGCUUAACACAUGCAAGUCGAGGGGCAGCAUAGAAGUAGCAAUACUUGGUGGCGACCGGCGCACGGGUGAGUAACGCGUAUGCAACCUACCUAUCAGAGGGGAAUAACCCGGCGAAAGUCGGACUAAUACCGCAUAAAACAGGGGCACCGCAUGGUGAUAUUUGUUAAAGAAAUUCGCUGAUAGAUGGGCAUGCGUUCCAUUAGGUAGUUGGUGAGGUAACGGCUCACCAAGCCGACGAUGGAUAGGGGAACUGAGAGGUUGGUCCCCCACACUGGUACUGAGACACGGACCAGACUCCUACGGGAGGCAGCAGUGAGGAAUAUUGGUCAAUGGGCGGGAGCCUGAACCAGCCAAGUCGCCGUGAAGGAAGAAGGAUCUAUGGUUCGUAAACUUCUUUUGCAGGGGAAUAAAGUGCAGGACGUGUCCUGUUUUGUAUGUACCCUGAGAAUAAGGAUCGGCUAACUCCGUGCCAGCCGCGGC
rnacentral:rRNA from 1 species